rnacentral:tRNA from 1 species
AAGGGUAUAGCUCAAACGGUAGAGCACAUGCUUAGCAUGCACAAGGUCCUAGGUUCAAUCCCCAGUGCCUCCU